rnacentral:rRNA from 1 species
GACGAACGCUGGCGGCGUGCUUAACACAUGCAAGUCGAACGGUAAGGCCCUUCGGGGUACACGAGUGGCGAACGGGUGAGUAACACGUGGGUGAUCUGCCCUGCACUUCGGGAUAAGCCUGGGAAACUGGGUCUAAUACCGGAUAGGACCCUGGGAUGCAUGUCCUGGGGGGGAAAGCUUUUGCGGUGUGGGAUGGGCCCGCGGCCUAUCAGCUUGUUGGUGGGGUGAUGGCCUACCAAGGCGACGACGGGUAGCCGGCCUGAGAGGGUGACCGGCCGCACUGGGACUGAGAUACGGCCCAGACUCCUACGGGAGGCAGCAGUGGGGAAUAUUGCACAAUGGGCGCAAGCCUGAUGCAGCGACGCCGCGUGAGGGAUGACGGCCUUCGGGUUGUAAACCUCUUUCAGCACCGACGAAGCGCGAGUGACGGUAGGUGCAGAAGAAGGACCGGCCAACUACGUGCCAGCAGCCGCAGUAA